GCGUCGGUAGCGCAAUGGUUAGCAUACGCUCCCGGAAAGAGUGGGAUCUGGGUUCGAAUCCCGGCUGACACA